rnacentral:ncRNA from 2 species
GAUUAUCUUCGGGGAAAGGUGCAAUUCCUUACCGGCGGUGAUGCCCGUUUUGGGAUGAGCCCGCGAGCCAGAAGGCCGAUUUGGUGAGAAUCCAAAGCCGACAGUUAAAGUCUGGAUGGGAGAAGAUAGUU